CACGUAGGCGGCUUGGUAAGUCAGAUGUGAAAGCCCGGGGCUUAACCCCGGAAGUGCAUUUGAUACUGUCAGGCUUGAGUAUGGGAGAGGGAAGUGGAAUUCCUGGUGUAGAGGUGAAAUUCGUAGAUAUCAGGAGGAACACCGGUGGCGAAGGCGACUUCCUGGACCAAUACUGACGCUGAGGUGCGAAGGCGUGGGUAGCAAACA
rnacentral:rRNA from 1 species